AUGUCGGCAGAGCAGACGGAGCAGCUGCGAUUGUCUUCUUUCCUUGCUUACGAGGCGGAGAAGGACUACGAUGUGCCGGAGCAGCCGGAGCGGCGGUGGGUCUUUUCCGCCCUUGCUGACGAGGCGGAGAAGGAGGAGGCUGGCUGCCCGGGCGCGCCGGCGCAGGCGGAGAAGGAGGCGGAGUGCCGUCACGCGCCGGAGAAGGAGGCCGAGUGCCCUGAUCGUCACUCGCCGGAGGAGGAGGCGGAGUGCCCCCACGUGCCGGAGAAGGAGGCCGAGUGCCCUGAUAGUCACUCGCUGGAGGAGGAGGCGGUGGAGGAGGCGGAGUGCCCUGACUCGCCGGAGGAGGAGGAGGAGGCAGAGGCGUCUAGUUCGGAAGGUUGA
rnacentral:rRNA from 1 species